GACGAACGCUGGCGGCGUGCUUAACACAUGCAAGUCGAGCGGUGAGGCCCUUUCGGGGGUACGACGAGCGGCGAACGGGUGAGUAACACGUGGGUGACCUGCCCUCCAGCUCUGGGAUAAGCCUGGGAAACCGGGUCUAAUACUGGAUAUGACUCCAUGACGCAUGUUGUGGGGUGGAAAGCCUUGUGCGGCUGAGGAUGGGCCCGCGGCCUAUCAGCUUGUUGGUGGGGGAUGGCCUACCAAGGCGACGACGGGUAGCCGGCCUGAGAGGGCGACCGGCCACACUGGGACUGAGACACGGCCCAGACUCCUACGGGAGGCAGCAGUGGGGAAUCUUGCGCAAUGGGCGAAAGCCUGACGCAGCGACGCCGCGUGA
rnacentral:rRNA from 1 species